rnacentral:ncRNA from 1 species
AGGAGCUGUAUGAGGUGAAAAUCUCAUGUACAGUUCUGUAGAGUGGCAAUAAGGGUGACUUAUCCGUCAACUUUUCCACUAUCACCCCCAAAAAACCAAACUCUGCCUUACAUAAAUGAUACGAUCCAGGCAAGGUCAAAUUCAGAUUUUGACGUAAAAUAUGCAACUAUCUAGUUUUAC